GCCUCUAUGGCCUAGUGGUUAAUUGUGCUCAUUAUUCAAAAAUUAAUGAUGAGUCUCAGGUUCAAUCCUUGCUGAUUGCA